CAGAGAGGGAGACAGCAUAUACACCUUUCAUUCCCCAAGCUGUUCUUCCUUCUAGGUAAUGUCAGCGGCAAUUAUGGUAAUUGUCAUUUAGUAAACAGAGUUACUGGCAUAUGAAGAACUACAUAAAAAGAAACUUUUAGUGCUAUGAUGUGUACUCUACAGUCUCAUUUUUAUAGACUUAAUGAAUCAUACACUUCAUCUGUAUUUGUUGCCCCACAUUUUUGCUCAUACCCUUCAUUUAUAUUAUGUCGUGGUAAACAGUUACACAGCCAGUGAGGUAGAAGUUGCUGCAGAUAAUAGUAUGGAACAGCGAGCUCUCCUUGUGGAAUCAAGAAGGUGAGUUAGUCUAGUUCUAUUAUUCAAUUUGUUGUUUCUUACUAGUUUUUGCUCGUCUCUAGGUUGUUAAGACUCAUUUUUAUCAAAUUCAGAUAUGCAUUNN
rnacentral:lncRNA from 1 species